GCCAAAUAAAAGAAACCUUGUUACAAAAGCUAUUAGUAUAAAAUCACAAUCUACAAUGCGAUGCUAGACAAAUACAGGACAAGCAUUAUAUCAUUAAAAAAGAAAAACUGAACUGCCGAGAGAGAGAGUGUGUAGAGUAUUGACAUUCAUUAACUGAUCCUUUAAACUGAGCUAUUUCCUGUGACAUUCACCUUCAACCAAAAGCCAAUGGCCGAACGGAGAACAUCCCCUACUAUUUUAACUAUGGAGAAAAAAUGAUAAAAAUGAAGAAAAAAACAUAGAACAAAGUUUAGGAAUCUCUCUAAAAGAGUAAGAGGUGUGCCAUCAUAAAGAGAUGUGGACUAAAACCUAUACUGAUAAGAUACACAAAAAGAAUGUCACUGACAGAAUACAGUAGGUUUCAUCUUUGAACUUGGUCAGCAGCAUGGUUGUUAGCCGUCGAAGAGGAGGCCACCCUGCCAUUUAACAUCCCAUUAUCAACAGGUGGACUUACGCCCCACUUCCCUUCAGAUUCCAGUGGUUCAAUCACUUUAACAGUUCCAUCUGUCAACCCAACUGCAAAUUGGCUGGGUUCUUGUGGAUGUGCUGCAACUACUAACGGAUACACAGAUUGACUCCCAGUCAACACUGCCUGCGACAAAUAAGCUGAGGGAGCAACACGACAUCUAAGUCUUAGAGUAUCGGCAUCAAAUACCCCGAUGUUGCCAUCAGAAAAGGAAGCAUAAACUAGUUGACUGUUGCAAGAGUAAGCCGCAUAGGUUAUUGGAGCAGAAAGUGCAUCUUGGGGGACCCACUGGCGAAUUCUUUCCAUCUUUGAUGCAUCAUAAAUUGCUAACUGUGUUUCAUGGGAUACUAGCAAGCGGACUUGGUCCGCAUGGAACUGUACUCGAGUGUCACCACUAGGUGCUUUACCAGCAGGCAGCUGAAUGGGAACUGAUUUCCUCUUGUCCCAUGAAUCAAUGCUCCAUAAACAGAGCUGAGCAUCAGCACCUGAUGAAACCAAUAUGUUGAGGUUGGUGGAGAAAGCAAGACCAGUAAUGCGCUUCUGAUGGCCUUUUAACUUGGAUUUUACCUCAUCAACCCUAACAUUAUAAAUGUGGAUCGUUGAGUCCUCCAUGCCAAUGGCAAUAAUAUUGUUAUCUUGAGGA
rnacentral:misc_RNA from 1 species